rnacentral:lncRNA from 1 species
AAAGAAGUACUUUAGGACAGAAAAACUCUAUUCCUAUGGAACCUUAUCUCAGAUGGGUACGCGCCAGAGCUCGUGAGCUUAUCAUGCCAUAUCUUGCAAUCGGACCUCUGAUUGUUGAACCAAAAGUUGAAGGAGGUACCCCUCAGAUCAUUCCUUAUCCAGAUAUGCCUACCAAUGUUGAAGAAUUGAAGAAAUCUUGGAUCCAGUUGAGAGAGGAAAGGGAUACUUUUGAAGCUCAGUUUUGUGCUGAAAGGAAGAAAGUAU